ACCACCUUUGGGUGGUUCCUGGACUCUAAGCAGAUUACACCUCCCCACCCCACACCCGCGCUAUCGUCUGAGCUAAUAAUAAUGCAGUUACUGCCUACUACCAAUAUUAGGGCAUUGCAAGCUUAUCUCUCCCUGGGUAAUCUUUUCCAGAGUUAGGCUGAUAAGCAACUUGUUGCACCCCCACCGCCACGCUUGUCCUCUCCCCCGUGUAGCAGAGGUUCGCUGGCCCCAGCCAGCGAGCAGAGGGGACGGCCAGGCAGCAGGCAGGACAUGGCGAGCGGGAAGGUUAUGGUGGCUGGAGGAAAUCUGCACCACUCUGAAGACAAGCCAGCGGCAGGUGAGGGCAGGAAAGGCUGACCGCGGAGCCUCGGGUCCCCUCGCACGCAGGGCAUGGAGGGAAGCGGGUGGCACUGUCGCAGGGAACAUCGCCGGCAAACGGAGACCCUGCUGCCAGCACCGGUGAAAACCACGGUCCUGAACUGAACAUGCCUGUGUGCACACAUCCAUUAGCUGGCUUCCAGCACCGCUGAUGCUAUCAGAGCGGCGUGGAUGCUUCCAGCUGCAAAGUGCUUUCAUGUUGCUGCUUUCCCAAGACAGGCAGUACUUUUAAGAUGGGGAUAUGCAGAAAAUCUGUCUGGCUGAGGAGCACGAGGUAUUUAAAAUGUGCUGGCUGCCAACUUGCGGGCUGACAUAAUCCAUCAUGACAGCAGAGCCAACUGGGCAGGAUUUACAGAGCCUUUCGAAACAGGGAGAGGAAACGGUGCCUGAUUCAGCCUGGAAGAAUGCACAGGAGAUACCUGCAGCAGCAAACUACCCAGCACCUGGAUAUUUAAUGAGGGAGACACCUGAGAAGCGGUGAUGCAAAGGAGACCUGGGUGGAUGCUCGGCCGAGCUGGACGAGCAUCGCGGGCGUUACUUGUACAACAAAACCUUCUGCAAGAUGACCCUCGUCUUCCAGGAUGCUGCGCCCGUGGGGGUGGGUAUUACCUGACCUUUACUGGGAAGGAGCGAUAAAAGAAAACAGAUAUUAAAUAUAUUUGCUGCUUGCAA